UUCGGGGGCGAGUAGAGUGGCGCACGGGUGAGUAACGCGUAGACAACCUACCUUUAAGUUUGGAAUAACUUCUUGAAAGAGAAGCUAAUACCGAAUAACAAUUUUGACCUAGUGGUUGGAAUUUGAAAGGCUUCGGUCGCUUUGAAGAUGGGUCUGCGUGACAUUAGCUUGUUGGUAAGGUAACGGCUUACCAAGGCUACGAUGUCUAGUGGGUCUGAGAGGAUGACCCGCCACACUGGAACUGAGACACGGUCCAGACUCCUACGGGAGGCAGCAGUAAGGAAUCUUGCGCAAUGGGCGAAAGCCUGACGCAGCAAUACCGCGUGAAUGAAGAAGGCCCUUGGGUCGUAAAGUUCUUUUAUAGGGGAAGAUAAUGACGGUACCCUAUGAAUAAGCACCGGCUAACUUCGUGCCAGCAGCCGCGGUAAUACGAAGGGUGCGAGCGUUGUUCGGAUUUACUGGGCGUAAAGAGCAAGUAGGCUGUUUUUUAAGCAAAGGGUGAAAUCCCGAGGCUCAACCUCGGAACUGCUCUUUGAACUGGAAGACUAGAGAAAGACAGAGGCAAGCGGAAUUCUUGGUGUAGAGGUGGAAUUCAUAGAUAUCAAGAGGAACAUCGGUGGCGAAGGCGGCUUGCUGGGUCUUUUCUGACGCUGAGAGGCGAAAGCGUGGGUAGCAAACAGGAUUAGAUACCCUGGUAGUCCACGCCGUAAACGAUGAGUAUCAGCCGUUUAGCUUCGGCUAGGUGGUGCAGCUAACGCUUUGAAUACUCCGCCUGGGGAGUACGGUCGCAAGACUAAAACUCAAAGGAAUAGACGGGGACCCGCACAAGCAGUGGAGCAUGUGGUUUAAUUCGAUGCAACGCGAAAAACCUUACCUAGGUUUGAAAUCCCUUGACAACCUUAGAAAUAAGGCUUUCCCUUCGGGGACAAGGUGACAGGUGC
rnacentral:rRNA from 1 species